CCCGAGACUAGAGUCACAUCCUGACAUUCCUUAUUGUUUUGGUGUGCUAGAGUUCUCGGAGAGAAAUUACUGAUCUUUAUUCACUGAUUGGUUCUCUAUGUAGCUCAAUCAGUCACCGGUUCAGUGACAUGU
ensembl:snoRNA